GAAAUUGUCCAAUUUGAAGUAGUCGUUAAGUAUACGUUCUGAGUUUAUUAUACACAGAUACUUAGUCAUUUUUGCAAUUACAAAAUGUUAAAUUGGUUUAUAUUCGCCUGUUUACUGGCUGUUGUGGUUGCUGACAUCAAUAUGUUCCAAAUAAAUCCAAAAGUGAAUUUUAACACUCCAAAUGGAAAGAAUGGAAAUGGAAACGGUUUUUUCCCCAAGUUUGGGCGUAACAGAGCUUAUAAAAGAAUACAUCCUAAUUUGAAAUGACCUCAUGCUAAAUUUUAUUGGGAUCAUGGAUAUAAGUAUUAAUUUCAAAACGUAAACUUUACGUUUACAUAUCUGGAAAAUUUGGAUGAAUCUUUACAAGAAAUUUCAAUAAAACUAACUAAAUUAAAAUAGCAAAAA